GGUACUGAGGAGGCCGGUGAAGGCCGGGAUUGGAACCCUGCUGCCAGCAAGAUUCCUGCAGGGUGGCUGGGUCAGCUCACCCCUGGCUGGCUAGGCCAAAAGACAAUGCUGGGUACGUGCAAGAAGGCAGAAUCUGACUGGGAACCAGGAUAGGAAGGCAGGACCCAGAGCAAGUCAAAGACUAAGUUUCAGGGGUUCAGUCCAUUAUCAUCACGGCAGGAAGCAUGGCAGUGGGCAGGCGGACAUGGUGCUGGAGGAGCUGAGCGUUCUACAGCUUGAUUUGAAGGCGGCAGGUGACUGGAAUUCCACACUGGGCGGAGCUUAAGCACAGGAGACAUCAUAGCCGGCCUACACGGUGACACACUUCCUCCAACAAGGCCACACCUACUCCUAAUAGUGCUAUGGGCCCAGGAUGCACACUGGGCCUGCUGGGUGGAGUGAGUCUACUGCGUCCUAAAGCAGGAAGCUGAGCAACUCGUGGCUCUGAUCUUCAGAAGGGGACAUGUCCAGACAGACCCAGGCAGCACUGCAGUAUACCCUAGACACACCCAUUCGGGGCCAGACCUGGCUGGCGAUGCCACAGGAGCUCGUGGUUUAUGUUAAAGUCUGUACAAAACUUAGCUUAAAAGAAAGAAACAGAGCCAGAAGAUGGUUCAGCAGCAAAGGCGCCCAACGAUGCCUGGAACCCACAUAAAGGUGGAAGGAAAGGAUUGUCCUCUGACCUCUGACCUCCCCCCACCAAAUACAUAGUCAAACUAAAACUUCUGAAAAAUGGUUAAGAAGAAGAAAAGACCUACAUUGAUAGAGAUUUGUAAAAGGGCACAGAAAUCAGUGAGAAAAGCCCCCAACGGCCACGGUGGAAACAGGCUAAGCAAUAAAAUAAAAUGGUUUGGGGUUACAACUCAUAAGUAUUAA